UAUGGCAUUUCUCACUUGGGGACAG
rnacentral:piRNA from 1 species